UGGGCAGGUUGAAGGUUGGGUAACACUAACUGGAGGACCGAACCGACUAAUGUUGAAAAAUUAGCGGAUGACCUGUGGCUGGGGGUGAAAGGCCAAUCAAACCGGGAGAUAGCUGGUUCUCCCCGAAAGCUAUUUAGGUAGCGCCUCGUGAAUUCAUCUCCGGGGGUAGAGCACUGUUUCGGCUAGGGGGCCAUCCCGGCUUACCAACCCGAUGCAAACUGCGAAUACCGGAGAAUGUUAUCACGGGAGACACACGGCGGGUGCUAACGUCCGUCGUGAAGAGGGAAACAACCCAGACCGCCAGCUAAGGUCCCAAAGUCAUGGUUAAGUGGGAAACGAUGUGGGAAGGCCCAGACAGCCAGGAUGUUGGCUUAGAAGCAGCCAUCAUUUAAAGAAAGCGUAAUAGCUCACUGGUCGAGUCGGCCUGCGCGGAAGAUGUAACGGGGCUAAACCAUGCACCGAAGCUGCGGCAGCGACACUGUGUGUUGUUGGGUAGGGGAGCGUUCUGUAAGCCUGUGAAGGUGUGUCGUGAGGCAUGCUGGAGGUAUCAGAAGUGCGAAUGCUGACAUAAGUAACGAUAAAGCGGGUGAAAAGCCCGCUCGCCGGAAGACCAAGGGUUCCUGUCCAACGUUAAUCGGGGCAGGGUGAGUCGACCCCUAAGGCGAGGCCGAAAGGCGUAGUCGAUGGGAAACGGGUUAAUAUUCCCGUACUUGGUGUUACUGCGAAGGGGGGACGGAGAAGGCUAUGUUGGCCGGGCGACGGUUGUCCCGGUUUAAGCGUGUAGGUGUGUGUUCCAGGUAAAUCCGGUUCACUUUAACACUGAGGCGUGACGACGAGGCACUACGGUGCUGAAGCAACAAAUGCCCUGCUUCCAGGAAAAGCCUCUAAGCAUCAGGUAACAUCAAAUCGUACCCCAAACCGACACAGGUGGUCAGGUAGAGAAUACCAAGGCGCUUGAGAGAACUCGGGUGAAGGAACUAGGCAAAAUGGUGCCGUAACUUCGGGAGAAGGCACGCUGACACGUAGGUGAAGUGAUUUACUCAUGGAGCUGAAGUCAGUCGAAGAUACCAGCUGGCUGCAACUGUUUAUUAAAAACACAGCACUGUGCAAACACGAAAGUGGACGUAUACGGUGUGACGCCUGCCCGGUGCCGGAAGGUUAAUUGAUGGGGUCAGCGCAAGCGAAGCUCCUGAUCGAAGCCCCGGUAAACGGCGGCCGUAACUAUAACGGUCCUAAGGUAGCGAAAUUCCUUGUCGGGUAAGUUCCGACCUGCACGAAUGGCGUAAUGAUGGCCAGGCUGUCUCCACCCGAGACUCAGUGAAAUUGAACUCGCUGUGAAGAUGCAGUGUACCCGCGGCAAGACGGAAAGACCCCGUGAACCUUUACUAUAGCUUGACACUGAACAUUGAGCCUUGAUGUGUAGGAUAGGUGGGAGGCUUUGAAGUGUGGACGCCAGUCUGCAUGGAGCCGACCUUGAAAUACCACCCUUUAAUGUUUGAUGUUCUAACGUGGACCCGUUACCCGGGUUGCGGACAGUGUCUGGUGGGUAGUUUGACUGGGGCGGUCUCCUCCUAAAGAGUAACGGAGGAGCACGAAGGUUGGCUAAUCCUGGUCGGACAUCAGGAGGUUAGUGCAAUGGCAUAAGCCAGCUUGACUGCGAGCGUGACGGCGCGAGCAGGUGCGAAAGCAGGUCAUAGUGAUCCGGUGGUUCUGAAUGGAAGGGCCAUCGCUCAACGGAUAAAAGGUACUCCGGGGAUAACAGGCUGAUACCGCCCAAGAGUUCAUAUCGACGGCGGUGUUUGGCACCUCGAUGUCGGCUCAUCACAUCCUGGGGCUGAAGUAGGUCCCAAGGGUAUGGCUGUUCGCCAUUUAAAGUGGUACGCGAGCUGGGUUUAGAACGUCGUGAGACAGUUCGGUCCCUAUCUGCCGUGGGCGCUGGAGAACUGAGGGGGGCUGCUCCUAGUACGAGAGGACCGGAGUGGACGCAUCACUGGUGUUCGGGUUGUCAUGCCAAUGGCACUGCCCGGUAGCUAAAUGCGGAAGAGAUAAGUGCUGAAAGCAUCUAAGCACGAAACUUGCCCCGAG
rnacentral:rRNA from 1 species